rnacentral:rRNA from 1 species
GACGAACGCUGGCGGCGUGCUUAACACAUGCAAGUCGAACGGAAAGGCCCUGCUUUUGUGGGGUGCUCGAGUGGCGAACGGGUGAGUAACACGUGAGUAACCUGCCCUUGACUUUGGGAUAACUUCAGGAAACUGGGGCUAAUACCGGAUAUGAUCUCCUGCUGCAUGUUGGGGGUUGGAAAGUUUCGGCGGUUGGGGAUGGACUCGCGGUUUACCAGCUGUUUGGUGGGGUAGUGCCUUACAAAGCUUUUGACGGGUAGCCGGCCUGGGAGGGUGACCGGCCACAUGGGGACUGAGAUACGGACCAGAAUCCUACGGGAGGCAGCAGUGGGGAAUAUUGCACAAUGGGCGGAAGCCUGAUGCAGAAACGCCGCGUGCGGGAUGACGGCCUUCGGGUUGUAAACCGCUUUCGCCUGUGACGAAGCGUGAGUGACGGUAAUGGGUAAAGAAGCACCGGCUAACUACGUG